AGGAGAAAACUUAGGAAAAAUGCAAGAAAUUAUUAUUUUCAAAUUGUAAAUGUUACGACCUAUCAAAACAUGUAUAUCUGAACUCAGAUCGGAAUCGUUUUUCGUUAGCAAAGAUUACAGAUAUACAUUAAAUUUCAUCUUUACCUAUCCGACUUUCGCCUACUGCACUUGGCCUAUACAUCGUGCCAAGUAUAUCCGUUUAAUUUUUAAAAAACGUUAAUGCAGGAUUUUUUCAAUAGAUAUUCAACAUAUAUCUAGGUACUGAUAAUUUCAAAUUAUUGUUGAACAUAUUAACAACUUUUAUUGGUAUAUGUUAAUUUACCAGAACCUUUAAUCAAAUAGGUAUUAUACAAAUAUGAACAAAUA